UCCGGUUUGUCACCGGCAGUCUCCUUAGAGUUCCCGACUUUACUCGUUGGCAACUAAGGACAGGGGUUGCGCUCGUUACGGGACUUAACCCAGCAUCUCACGACACGAGCUGACGACAGCCAUGCAGCACCUGUGCACGAGUCCCGAAGGAGGCCCCUGGUUUCUCAAGAGUUUCCCGUGCAUGUCAAGCCUAGGUAAGGUUCUUCGCGUUGCGUCGAAUUAAACCACAUGCUCCACCGCUUGUGCGGGCCCCCGUCAAUUCCUUUGAGUUUUAGCCUUGCGGCCGUACUCCCCAGGCGGGGUGCUUAAUGCGUUUGCGACGGCACGGAAGGGGUUGAUGCCUCCCACACCUAGCACCCAACGUUUACGGCUGGGACUAC
rnacentral:misc_RNA from 1 species